rnacentral:rRNA from 1 species
UACGGAGGAUCCAAGCGUUAUCCGGAUUUAUUGGGUUUAAAGGGUGCGUAGGCGGAAUGAUAAGUCAGUGGUGAAAGCCUGCAGCUUAACUGUAGAAUUGCCGUUGAUACUGUUGUUCUUGAGUAUAUUUGAUGUGGGCGGAAUGUGUCAUGUAGCGGUGAAAUGCUUAGAUAUGACACAGAACACCGAUUGCGAAGGCAGCUCACAAAAACUAUAACUGACGCUGAGGCACGAAAAGCGUGGGGGAUCAAACAGG